rnacentral:lncRNA from 1 species
GUUUUGUGCGCAUCCUGGCACCAACAGAACAUGCGCCCAAGGGCAACGCCUUCUUGCUUUGGGCAUCCACGCCAGACAGCCCAAGUACAGUGGAUACAGCAUGACGCCAUGAGGGUACUGGCCGCUCAGUGCCUUCGUCCACCUUUGACACUUGGAAGCGAGACACACGACGAAAUGGAAAGAAACCUGCCCUCUUGCGGCCUGGCUGUUUACCACGGCUCGCUUGAAGGUGACCCUGGGCUUUGUUUGUGAAGAUGAAGGCUCCCCACCGAGCAGGCUCUCCAGUUCCCAGACGCUCAUGCGUCCUCCACUGGGGUGCUCCUUUUGCUCGGGUGUGGACAGUGCCCUCGACAGGU